rnacentral:rRNA from 1 species
AUUGAACGCUGGCGGCAGGCCUAACACAUGCAAGUCGAGCGAGCGGCGGACGGGUGAGUAAUGUCUGGGAAACUGACUGAUGGAGGGGGAUAAGUACUGGAAAAGGUAGCUAAUACCGCAUACAAUCAGAUGUGGCGAGAGGGGAUUAGCUAGUAGGUGGGGGAACGGCUCACCUGGGCGACGAUCCCUAGCUGGCCUGAGAGGAUGACCAGCCACACUGGAACUGAGACACGGCCCAGACUCCUACGGGAGGCAGCAGUGGGGAAUAUUGCGCAAUGGGCGCAAGCCUGAUUCAGCCAUGCCGCGUGUGUGAAGAAGGCCUUCGGGUUGUAAAGCACUUUCAUCGGGGAGGCGUUACCCUCAGAAGAAGCAACGGCUAACUACGUGCCAGCCGCCGCGGUAAUAC